ensembl:lncRNA
CGGAGACGUGUCGGUGGCUGCACGGCGCGCCUGUGGCUGCCCCGGGCCGGGGCUGCUCUUCGGGCGCCGCUCGGCCCGCGUUUCCCUCGGCUCUUGGUUCCGAAGUGGGGAUGGUGGCCGGGGCUGACCUACGUGGUAAAUGGUAAAAUGGGGGAAGCGGUGUAUGGUGGCACUGUGGCAGGGAACGGCCUUUCUCCAGCCUGGUUUGCAUCUACGCGCCGGCAUCCGGGUGUUUUGCCUUCGCUGCUGGUGGAUGAGUUUCUCAAAAUUGGAUUUCCAUGUAAACCUUCAGCAGAAGCUUGGAGGUGCAGAUCGAAGGGGCCUUGCCGCCACCCUCAGGGAUUCCUUCCCUGUGAAAUGUCUUGGUACUGCCAUAUUCCUUCUGCUUUCCGCUAUGUCUGGAAAGUCCCUGGCAAAGUGGGAUCUCUCCAUCCCUUUUGGGCCUGUGUUUUAUGCCACAUGUGUCCAAGUACAGGUGUCCAGGAAGUACCAUCCAUUUGCUCGUCCUGCAUCCUGCUGAUAAUUCAUGGUUACAGACCAGCUAAAAGUGUCUCAUUCGCAGUUAGCUGAUGGAUUUUCUGCGGAGGUCCACAGGGAUGGAAGGCACGAGGAGCUGGCGAAGGGCACCAGAGCUGUGUGGAAUAGAGGGCAGGUGAACACUGCUGCUCGCAGGAAGGGUCCUGCUGCCAGAUUAUGAGCAGUGGCGCAUGAAUGAGGAGCUCUCAGGUUCUGGAGUGAUCAUGUAGACAGGAAUUUUCCUUGCUAGAUCUUUGUUCUGUUUCCCUGCAGUGUCUUCCUGAGUUGAACUGGAAGCUUUGGAUGUCUGCAGCCUACAGAAACGAGCUCUGAAGGAUUUUGUAUGUGGAGUACAAGAAAGAAAACGUCCCAGAACACAUUGGUAGAAAGCUGAGUAUUCCGGAAGAGGUUUACAGUACAGUUCAGCUUUUACACACACAUGUAGCCAGCAGUAUGAGAAGUUUGGCCAUUCUUCAGCAUCGGUGUUGUCCUUAGCCACUAAACACAGAUGAAGCUCUGCAGUAGGCCGUUCUGUUCCUGCCAGGCUAUAAGGAAAUCUGCAGUUAUCACCUCUGUAAACUGGAAAGUUUAGCCCACGGCAGCUACCUACGAGGGAGAAGAUUAUACGAGCAGUCUCCCUCUUCCCCCAAUUAGAUGAGAACUGUUGUACGGUCUGUUUAAAAAUCAGAAUGUGUGGUACUGAGGUUCUGAUUAAAAGGCUUCUACACGAGAAGUAUUGAUUAUAUUUGUGUUGUUGCUGUUCCUAAUUCUUUCACGGAUGCAAUACCUUCUGCUUGCAGUAAAGAAAAGAAUGAGACAGAACUUUACAAAUGAGUAUAAAUCUAGGAUUUACCAUUAUGAUGAAAGAAAGAGAUGUGAUGAAUGGAUGUAAAAUCUCGGAGCUGUAGUGUAAUGAUGGGGUCAUUUCAUCAUGAUGGGUAGAUAUGACAUGCAGUAUUCAGAGCCUUCAAAAAGGGUUUCAUUUAUCAUACUCGAAGAGGCAUCAAAGUGUUUGGGUAUGACUCAAAGCAAAAGAAUCGUUACAAUUUGCCUUUGAACAAACUCAGGAAAUAUAUUGAUCGUAUAGGUUUAUGCUGCUAGGAAAACAGCUAAUGAUGAUUCAGUCUAUGUAUUUUGUGCAUAGCUUGAGGAAAUGUUCAUUAAAACCUUACACCAUGUAUGCCGCUACACCCUUUGGGAACUUAAACAUAAAAGCUGGAAUUUCAAAACCUUAUUAAGUACAAUUUGAGUUUACAGAAAUAGAAUAAUAUAUUUGAAUUCUGGAAUUGUGUGGCCAUAGGUGAGAGAGGAAACUACACCAGAUGAUGUUUGGAGUAAAAAGAAAGCUCUGAUUUCCAAAUGUGCUGGUGCAUAGUGUUCAAUAACAGCAGUAUUGGUCGAUGAAGAUGGUGACUGAGUUCAUUUGAGCUGAUGUUCAAAUGGAUAUUUAACAAAGUGGGCCACGAAUGGGUUUCUAAGGAGAGGACAGAAUACCAGAAAUGGAGCAGAUGAAGCCAGAAGUAGGCUAGACAAGGCAAGAGCAAGCACAGAAGUGAGAAAGCAUGGCUGUGACAGAUGUGAAUGCUUAACAAUACAAAUGUGUUCUCAGUAGCCAGGCUGUGAACCAGAAAUUUGCAAUGACUGGGUAUGGGAAAGUUCAUCAUGGUAGCGGUCACCGGAGAUGAUGAUUCUGAAUGCCAGCAGAGUUCGAACUUACGCUGUUCAUAAAGUGGACUGAUAUGUAUCCACUUACAAUUUUACCAGCAUCUAAAACACUAUUUAUAUCCUGUCUGAAAUUGGCAGGGCAGCUCAUAUGUUCUCCGUGUAAUGUACUGUAACUACACUGUAUCUAGUACGUAAACGUUUGCUUUCUUAAUAUAUUGCUACUGUUCUUUUUAUCUUCCAGACACUGCGUAUUUAUGCCUAAUCUUUUGUAUUUUCAGUUCAGCACAGGCUAAAACUGUCAGCCUCAUUUAUCUGACACUAUUAAAAAUGCAGACAAAGGCUUUCAGCCAGCAUGUGAACAUUGAAGUUGCUACUUUCUAUGUACCCAGUUUUUGCUUAUGGGAUGUCAUUGAUCUAUAUCUGAUCAAUAUUUUUAAAAUUUCCUUUGAGAUCUGCUCAGCAGCCAUCUGUAAUCCAGUGUGUGGAGGAGAAAGCUGAGUGAGUCAGUUUCUUCAUUCCUCUUCAGAGUCAUUUUGCUCUGACACUGCCUUGAUGCGCUAGGCUUGUAUCCUUGCUUCAAAAACUGUAACAGUAUGUUCUCUCACAGACCUUCAUAGCAAAGAAGAUUUAAAUGAUAAAAUAUGUUGACAAGCCUAUAAGAGUUUGAAUAUAGCAAGAACAGAGCAGCAGGGGGAGAAAACAUUAGGUAGUAACUAGCAAUAGGUCCUUAAGCCUCCUAAUCAGCUGCAUAUAACAAGGAAGAAAUGUGACGAAAUAAAUACAUACAAAUGUGCUGAGGUAGUCUAUGAAUAAAAUAAAAGAGUUUUACAGUUUCUGGAAUUCAAGCUAACUUGCAGUAAUAUUUAGUCUGCCUUACUAAAUUCCAAUUUUAGGGGGUUGUCUGUUUUCCUUAGUAAAAAGAAUUUCCCCUUAACACACUGCUAGAUAUGAGAAAUGGGAAUGCAGGAGGAUGUAUGAAUGAGAUGAAGAAAUGGGAGGAGCUGAGAUGAGCACACGUGGUAGGGAAUCCGGAGCUGUCUGAGCAUAAGAGAAUUUCAUAGGAGUAAAAAAAAAAAACAACAAAGAGAGAUGUAAGGUGAAAAAAAGAGCCCUGAGUGAAUGGCAGAUAUAUCUUAAACAUUGUUAUUUAUGAUCAGUAAGUACACCGUUGCCAAAUUCAAGCUGAACUGAAGAAGCCAAAUUUUGCACACAAUAAAUACUAUGCGAUGUUCUGUUAUUUAUAAAACUAGUUAUACGUACAGUUAAUAUUUACUGAAUACCAAAUUCCUUUCUAGUUUGCUCUGUGUAUUUGGAAGAUACAAAAAAUCUUUUCUGCAUCUGGCUGAAAGAAGUUGUAAGAUCUUUACAAAUCAGAGCAUACUAUUAACAUUCAAAUUAAAAAAUAUUGUCAUGAAUUUUUUGCCAUUUACAUAGGGAGUUCCAGCUGAGCUGAAGACCUGCAUCAAAAUACUUUGGGACUUUCAUUCCUGCAUGCCUGUUUGAUGUUUUGGUGCUCCUAUGGUUAGUAGAUGCCCUCUUGCUGAACCUGGGGAAGAACAUGUGAGUGACAGUGGCAACAGUCAUACAACCAGGUGAUACAAUCUGCUGGCCACAAAACAGCAAACCUGGCUAUGUAGAGUAGACAGGUAAAUUAAAAAAGCUUGAAUUGAGGAAGGGCCGUUUCUGUUAUAUCAAUUCUAACAAUAGGUUUAAACAUCAUCUGGAUAGGGAUUUGCUUUUUAGGUGCCUUUAAUCGAUGCUGAAUUUGAAAAGUAAAUGUGUAAUGUCGAAAAUUGUCCAGUUCAUAACAAUAGUGAGAUAAGGAUGUAAUUCUUAUCAAAGUACCCAUUGGUCUCUCUAACCAUCACCACUGCACAAAAGAAGAGAUCACACCUCAGUAAUGGAAAAGGUGCACCAAACAAAUGAAUCGCUCCUCUUUCAAUGUUAUUUUAAGCUAUGUUCUUUCUUCCAGGUUUUGGGGAACGUAGACAACAGGAAUCAAAUCAUUCAAAGAGUUCAUUGUCUGAUCAUCCAUUUGAAGAAAGCUUCAACAUUUUUUACGUGCUGGUUGUAUUAACAGAUUAUUUUUUAUUUUUUUGCCUAUUAAGAUGGGCCCACGUCCAAAUUGCGACAUCCUGAAUUGUGUGUGAGCUAAAUCUGGUUACAGAUAGGAAUCUGAAUAUUAUGAGCAGGGUGGAGUUGAGCUAAAGAUCUGACUCCCUCGGCCUUGUGACUUGGAUGUGACAUGAGUUUGGCAUGUCCAAGCUAACCCUAUUUUUUUACCUAGCCCCUGAAUAAAUUGGAAACUUAAAAAGGCACUGUCAUGUUUUGUAUCUGAAACCAUAAGGUGGUCUUAAGCUGCCUGCAGUGCUGUAAAUUUGAGUUUCUUUUGUUGCUGUUGUUAUUCAUUGGGAAAGAAUGCGGCCCGGUUUCCAGUGACAGAGGGUGUGAAAUGGUAUAAAGUAGAAGUAAAAGGUGGAUUAUUUUGAAGAGACAAAAAAACCAAACCAAAACAAAACCAUAGUUCCCUGUUCAACAGGGACCAAAUAACCAUGGAGCCAGUUUCCUAUGUAAGUAACUGCGAUUCUGUCAUGUGACAGUUACAUGGAGUCACAUACUGAACAAAGAAUUUUCUUAAAAAAAAAAAAAAAAAAAAAAAAAAGAAAAAGAACUGUAGUCUAUGAAGCUGCUUUUAAAUGCUCAAUGCUCCCUGCUCCCUUCCCCCAUCUCCUUGGCUUCUUGUUUCAGCGUAAGUAGUAGAGCACACAAGUUAUUCAAGUUUAGAAACUAGUUAGUGAAAUUGAAUUCAUAAAUGAGUGCUAGUGAUUUUAGACCAUAAAAUGGAUCCUAAUUUAUUUUUACAAGCAGCAUGACUGAGGUUAAGCUUGAAGGUUGCUGUAGCCAGACAGGUUUUUUUGUAAAGCUGGUGAGUGAGGAGCAUCGACACCACAUAGGAUACACAUUGGAUACCUAUGCUUAUGUAGCAUGUACUUACAUAGUGUAGAGUUUUGAACUCAGAAAUUUUUUGUGAAAUACACAGGUCUGGGUCAGAUCUGUAUUUCGAAAUAAAGCCUCUAAAAAAACACUGCUGAAAGAAAGCAAAUAGAUUUUUAUACAUUUUGUAAUCUGAUGUUAACAGUCACAGUGAGGUAAACAUUUAUAAAUCACUUGUAACUGGCAGGCUGUUAACUUCUGGUAAAUGGUUUGCUCAGACAAUGGAGUAGAGUCUUUCUUGACAUCUAACAGUGUUUAUUCACUCAGAUGACAUUAAUAGGUUGCUGAAACUAAAAUUCAGGGUCGCAACUAAUAUUACAUCUACUUAGAAAUCCCAUUCUGCAGCCAGGUGCAACAGUUUAAAAUCUGUGAGUGAGAGCAGUAAAACAGCUGACAUCCCCAAACUUCCUGCACAAUGGGAACACUGUGGGUUGGUUUUGGUUUUUUUUUGGUCUGUUUGUUUGUUUUUUAAAUCUGGAAUAACUAAAAUGUUGUAAUUAGUUUUUAGUUGAAAUAUUACACGAUCAAAAGAAAACAUUAACUGGUAGCUUUUUGAACUUUUCUUUAUAAUAAAGUCAAAUUAAAAUUUACUUUUUCAGUAAAUGUUUUCAAGGCUUUGGUUCUGCAUCUCAAAAUGAUUCAAUCAUGUUAAGUGAACGUGUUUGAGGAAAUGCCCCUUUUUUGCUCUAAGUAAAGUGGUUAUUGUAGGUGAGGCAUAAUAACUUACUGUACUGAGAUCCUAAUACAGGCAAGCUAGUUGGUAGGUUUCUCGUGUUCUUCAUGCUAUUGAGGUGAAGGUAAACAGAUAAGAAUAUAAAAUUACUGUAGUCUUCUAGUACAUAUUUUCCCACUAAAAGAAACAAGCUUCUUUCUGCCUCUACCCCCAUUUGCCUUAAGGAAGAUACAGUACAACGUUGGAUGAUUUGGAUUUUGCUGGUAUCACUUAUACUUGACACCUGACUCUGAAUAAGAUAUCCCAAGAGAAGCUCAGCUACCAAACAAAAUAAAAUGCUCAAGUCUCAUAUUGCAAAUUCUUGAAUGAUGUUGGUUCUGUUUCAACCUGGAAAAUUGUAACACAGUUCCAAACCAGAGCACUUCCUUCUGGAGCUCUGCCUGCCAUCAUGCAGCAGAGCAGAGACCCCCGUGGUUCUGUCAUGGGGCAUUUUGUUCUUGCAGCUCCAGCUUUACCCAUGAGUGGAGGCCAUGAAUGAUACUGUUCCUUGGAAAUGUCUUCUUUCUCGGUCAGCAUACUGCAAUUGUUUUGUUAAAAUCAGUAAGUAAACAUCCUGGUCAAAUUCCAGUUCAGAUAACAGCACUCUGCUUACAGAGUUCCUGCAGUUUCAAAUAAAUGGCAUACUUAUGUCUGUUACCCUGUUCUGUGGUAUUGGAUGGUGGUGGUAAGCAGCUGGUAUGUUGUGGCUCAGAGGUGAUCUCAGCUAACUCAGGCAUAAGGUGGAUCCCCUUUGCUUUUCAUUAUUACUUUAAAAUUGAGACAUGUUGAUGAUGGUAAAGUUGCUGAAGUGUCAAACAUUUAUCUCUUUUUUCUUCUUCCUGUACAUCUUGUUCUAACUAUUGCAGAGAUAAAAAUGGUGUCUGAUUUUUAAAAUGAUACAAAUGUAAGUUUUACUCCUUGCCUUCUUCUUAGGCCAUGUCUUAAAUACAUUGAUCUCUCGGAUUGCUGAUAUUAAAUUUGCUAUGGGAUAGGUUCGGUGCAGUUUACCAAUAUAAAGCCAAUGAUAGCUAACAGAUGAAAACAUGACAGUUUCAAUGAAAGUCAGCUUAUCACUUUUUAUCACACACCAGAGAGACAUGUUCAGCACAGCUUGUUUUUCCUUUCUCCGGUUUCAGCAGAUCGGGAUGGAUUUUUGAUAUCUAUAAAAUUUGACAUAUCAGAUUGAUGAAUACAGCACAGCAGAGAACGUCCAAUACAUGAAUAAGAUUCAUCACAAAUCAAAACUGAAGUGUGAGCUUAUUCCAAAUUCACAAAGUCCUUGUGGCAGUGAGGCUUCUUUCAGCCGUGAUCUCACAUCAUCUCACACUGCCUGCAGAAGAGAUAAAAUUCAGUAUGAUUCUUUACUUCUUAGAUUACAGCAGUUGUUGUCAUUACUUCUCCCCAUUCCCUUUUCAAAAACCUAAGCACAUUCAUACUUCGAAUUUCCUUCAAUAUUUAAUAUGUCAGGUAUAAUAUGCAAGUUGUAUGUUUUUCUGCAGUUCAUCUACAGUCUCUUUUUAUAGUAAAAGGACAUUAACUGAAUGCUAGCUAUAUGGCCCAUCAGAAUGCCUUUUCAACCAAUACUUGAAAAGCUCGUAAAAUUCCCAAUCUUCAGCAGUAAGCUCAUGUGCUCCUUUGGUAGUUUACCGAAGGGUACAUGAACCAAAAUGUUGACUUUUUGACCAUUUUGAUGAUUUAUGAUUCAUUAGUUGUAGUGCUGGAGUUAGUCUGACCAGCUCACCUCAAAUCUUGACCUUAUUGAAGGCAGCAGAAUUUUUGCUGUUGCCUUCAGUGUGGCGAAAAUUUCUCUAAAUUUGUGCUGUUUCUAAACACUACUUUUUCC